rnacentral:tRNA from 1 species
AAGAAGUUAGUUUAAUAAAAACUAAUGAUUUCGAUUCAUUUAAUUUCAAUAACACUUGAAACUUCUUU